rnacentral:rRNA from 1 species
AAUGAACGCUGGUGGCAGACCUAACACAUGCAAGUCGAACGGUCUAUAUUAAACUUCGGUUUUUUAUAGAUAGUGGCAAACGGGUGAGUAAAGCAUGGGAAUCUACCUAGAAGUUUGGAAUAGCUAUUAGAAAUGAUAGAUAAUACCAAAUACACCUCGAGAGGGAAAGUUGACUUCGGUCUUCGCUUUUAGAUGAGCCCAUGUUAAAUUAGUUAGUUGGUAGGGUAAUGGCCUACCAAGAUGAUGAUUUAUAGCUGGUCUUAGAGGAUGAUCAGCCACACUGGAAUUGAGAUACGGUCCAGACUCCUACGGGAGGCAGCAGUAGGGAAUUUUCGACAAUGAGCGCAAGCUUGAUCGAGCAACACACGUGAGGGAAGAAGAUUUUAGGAUCGUAAACCUCUGUUGUAAGGAAAAAAUGCUAGAACAGGAAAUGGUUUUAGUUGACGGUACCUAAAAAAGUGACGGCUAACUUCGUGCCAGCAGCCGCGGUAAU